GUGCUUGCUUCAGCAGCACAAAUACUAAAAUUAGAAUGAUACAGGGAAAAUUAGCAUAGACUUUGUUCAAGGAUGACACUAAAAGAAAAUCUUUAAAACUUA